rnacentral:rRNA from 1 species
AGCAGCCGCGGUAAUUCCAGCUCCAAUAGCGUAUAUUAAAGUUGUUGCAGUUAAAAAGCUCGUAGUUGAAUUUCGGGAUCAAUAUGUUGGUCGUGCCUCGGUACGUACUAGCAUAUUGGUUUCUCCUUUCUGAAGAACCAUGAUGUCAUUUAUUUGGUGUCGUGGGGAAUCAGGACUGUUACUUUGAAAAAAUUAGAGUGUUUAAAGCAGGCUCACGCUUGAAUACAUUAGCAUGGAAUAAUGAAAUAGGACGUUUGAUUCUAUUUUGUUGGUUUCUAGGAUCGACGUAAUGAUUAAUAGGGAUAGUUGGGGGCAUUAGUAUUCAAUUGUCAGAGGUGAAAUUCUUGGAUUUAUUGAAGACUAACUACUGCGAAAGCAUUUGCCAAGGAUGUUUUCAUUAAUCAAGAACGAAAGUUAGGGGAUCGAAGACGAUCAGAUACCGUCGUAGUCUUAACCAUAAACUAUGCCGACUAGGGAUCGGAUGAUGUUAAUUUUUUAAUGACUCA